AAGAAGUUAGUUAAAUUAAUAACAUUAGUAUGUCAUGCUAAAAUUAUUAGAAUCUAAUACAUCUUU
rnacentral:tRNA from 1 species